CCUACGGGAGGCAGCAGUGGGGGAUAUUGCACAAUGGGGGAAACCCUGAUGCAGCGACGCCGCGUGGGAGAAGAAGUAUUUCGGUAUGUAAAGCCCUAUCAGCAGGGAAGAAGAAAUGACGGUACCUGAGUAAGAAGCACCGGCUAAAUACGUGCCAGCAGCCGCGGUAAUACGUAUGGUGCAAGCGUUAUCCGGAUUUACUGGGUGGAAAGGGAGCGCAGGCGGCACGGCAAGCCUGAUGUGAAAGCCCGCGGCCCAACCGCGGGACUGCAUUGGGAACUACCGGGCUGGAGUGCCGGAGAGGUAGGCGGAAUUCCUAGUGUAGCGGUGAAAUGCGUAGAUAUUAGGAGGAACACCAGUGGCGAAGGCGGCCUACUGGACGGUGACUGACGCUGAGGCUCGAAAGCGUGGGGAGCAAACAGGAUUAGAUACCCGGGUAGUC
rnacentral:rRNA from 1 species